rnacentral:rRNA from 1 species
CACGUAGGGGGCGAGCGUUGUCCGGAUUUAUUGGGCGUAAAGAGCUCGUAGGCGGCUUGGUAAGUCGGGUGUGAAAACUCCGAGCUCAACUCGGAGACGCCAUCUGAUACUGCCAUGGCUAGAGUCCGGUAGGGGAGCGCGGAAUUCCUGGUGUAGCGGUGAAAUGCACAGAUAUCAGGAGGAACACCGAUGGCGAAGGCAGCGCUCUGGGCCGGUACUGACGCUGAGGAGCGAAAGCAUGGGGAGCGAACAGG